GAUGAACGCUGGCGGCGUGCCUAAUACAUGCAAGUCGAGCGAACGGACGAGAAGCUUGCUUCUCUGAUGUUAGCGGCGGACGGGUGAGUAACACGUGGAUAACCUACCUAUAAGACUGGGAUAACUUCGGGAAACCGUAGCUAAUACCGGAUAAUAUUUUGAACCGCAUGGUUCAAAAGUGAAAGACGGUCUUGCUGUCACUUAUAGAUGGAUCCGCGCUGCAUUAGCUAGUUGGUAAGGUAACGGCUUACCAAGGCAACGAUGCAUAGCCGACCUGAGAGGGUGAUCGGCCACACGGGAACUGAGACACGGUCCAGACUCCUACGGGAGGCAGCAGUAGGGAAUCUGCCGCAAUGGGCGAAAGCAUGACGGAGCAACGCCGCGUGAGUGAUGAAGGUCUUCGGAUCGUAAAACUCUGUUAUUAGGGAAGAACAUACGUGUAAGUAACUGUGCACAUCUUGACGGUACCUAAUCAGAAAGCCACGGCUAACUACGUG
rnacentral:rRNA from 1 species